rnacentral:rRNA from 1 species
GUCUACGGCCAUGCCACUCUGAACAUGCCCGAUCCCAUCUGAUCUCAGAAGCUAAGCAGGGUUGGGCCUGGUUAGUACUUGGAUGGGAGACCACAUAGGAAGACCAGGUGCUGGAGGUG